GACGAACGCUGGCGGCGUGCUUAACACAUGCAAGUCGAACGAGGUCCAAUCAGUGGCAACACUGAGGAAGACCUAGUGGCGAACGGGUGCGUAACACGUGAGGAAUCUGUCCCGGUCUCUGGGAUAACAGGUGGAAACACCUGCUAAUACCAGAUGCCGUCGGUGAGUCGCAUGGCUCACUGACGAAAGGGUUACCGGAUCGGGAGGAUCUCGCGGCCUAUCAGCUUGUUGGUGGGGUAACGGCCUACCAAGGCAUCGACGGGUAGCUGGUCUGAGAGGAUGAUCAGCCACACUGGGACUGAGACACGGCCCAGACUCCUACGGGAGGCAGCAGUGGGGAAUCUUGCGCAAUGGGCGAAAGCCUGACGCAGCAACGCCGCGUGCGGGAAGAAGGCUCUCGGGUUGUAAACCGCUUUCAGUAGGAACGAAAAUGACGGU
rnacentral:rRNA from 1 species